CAGCAGCCGCGGUAAUACGAAGGGGGCUAGCGUUGCUCGGAAUCACUGGGCGUAAAGGGUGCGUAGGCGGGUUUUUAAGUCAGAGGUGAAAUCCUGGAGCUCAACUCCAGAACUGCCUUUGAUACUGAAAGUCUUGAGUAUGGGAGAGGUGAGUGGAACUGCGAGUGUAGAGGUGAAAUUCGUAGAUAUUCGCAAGAACACCGGUGGCGAAGGCGGCUCACUGGUCCGGAACUGACGCUGAGGCACGACAGCGUGGGGAGCAAACAGGAUUAGAUACCCGUGUAGUCCCUGUCUCUUAUAC
rnacentral:rRNA from 1 species